GACGAACGCUGGCGGCGUGCUUAACACAUGCAAGUCGAACGGAGUUACGUAUGAAGUAUUUCGGUACGGACUAUGUAACUUAGUGGCGAACGGGUGAGUAACACGUGGGCAACCUGCCCUUAACCGGGGGAUAACAUUGUGAAAACAGUGCUAAUACCGCAUAACAGAGUAUCGGGCAUCCGAUAUUUUUAAAAGGAGCAAUCCGGUUUAGGAUGGGCCCGCGUCCAAUUAGCUAGUUGGUGAGGUAACGGCUCACCAAGGCUACGAUUGGUAGCCGAACUGAGAGGUUGAUCGGCCACAUUGGGACUGAGACACGGCCCAGACUCCUACGGGAGGCAGCAGUGGGGAAUAUUGGGCAAUGGGCGAAAGCCUGACCCAGCGACGCCGCGUGAAGGAUGAAGGUCUUCGGAUUGUAAACUUCUUUGAUCAGGAAGAAAGAAAUGACGGUACCUGAAGAACAAGCCACGGCUAACUACGUG
rnacentral:rRNA from 1 species